AUUGAACGCUGGCGGCAGGCCUAACACAUGCAAGUCGAGCGGAUGAAGGGAGCUUGCUCCUGGAUUCAGCGGCGGACGGGUGAGUAAUGCCUAGGAAUCUGCCUGGUAGUGGGGGAUAACGUCCGGACACGGGCGCUAAUACCGCAUACGUCCUGAUGGAGAACGUGGGGGAUCUUCGGACCUCACGCUAUCAGAUGAGCCUAGGUCGGAUUAGCUAGUUGGUGGGGUAAAGGCCUACCAAGGCGACGAUCCGUAACUGGUCUGAGAGGAUGAUCAGUCACACUGGAACUGAGACACGGUCCAGACUCCUACGGGAGGCAGCAGUGGGGAAUAUUGGACAAUGGGCGAAAGCCUGAUCCAGCCAUGCCGCGUGUGUGAAGAAGGUCUUCGGAUUGUAAAGCACUUUAAGUUGGGAGGAAGGGCAGUAAGUUAAUACCUUGCUGUUUUGACGUUACCAACAGAAUAAGCACCGGCUAACUUCGUG
rnacentral:rRNA from 1 species